GACGAGGGGUCCAAGCGUUGUUCGGAAUCAUUGGGCGUAAAGCGGGUGUAGGCGGCUCUGUAAGUUAGGAGUGAAAGCCCCGGGCUCAACCUGGGAAGUGCUUUUAAUACUGCAGAGCUUGAAUGUGGGAGAGGGUAGUGGAAUUCCAGGUGUAGUGGUGAAAUACGUAGAUAUCUGGAGGAACACCGGUGGCGAAGGCGGCUACCUGGCCCAACAUUGACGCUGAGACCCGAAAGCAUGGGGAUCAAACAGG
rnacentral:rRNA from 1 species